UACAGAGGUCUCAAGCGUUGUUCGGAUUCAUUGGGCGUAAAGGGUGUGUAGGUGGCGCGCUAAGUCGGGUGUGAAAUUUCGGAGCUUAACUCCGAAACUGCAUUCGAUACUGGCGUGCUUGAGGACUGGAGAGGAGACUGGAAUUCAUGGUGUAGCAGUGAAAUGCGUAGAGAUCAUGAGGAAGACCAGUGGCGAAGGCGGGUCUCGUGGACAGUUCCUGACACUGAGAACACGAAGGGCCAGGGGAGGCAAACAGGG
rnacentral:rRNA from 1 species